CAGGAGGUAGUUUAAUUUAAAAUCUUGGCUUUGGGAGCCAAGGAUAGGAGUUUGAUCCUCUUCUUCCUGA
rnacentral:tRNA from 1 species